AACCACAUAUUCAUAAGUAAAAAUCGACGUAAAGAUCCAUAAUGAGCUGAAAAGGUUGAUCACGUGUAAAAAACAACAGAUGUAAACUACAGCAUUGCAUUAAACCAAAAACAUCCACCAUGAAUAUUUAAAAUAAAAGCAAUCCGACACUAAAGAAGCUGGUCAAGACUCAGGACUGCAAAUAGCUCUCACCCCCAGCAAAAUCCACAUUCACCAAACCAUGAAUCUGCAAAGCGAAAGACAAAGAUAAGCUGUUAAAGCAUUUUGCUAUGACAUUAGCUUAGAUUAAAAAGACCAUAUCUGAACCAUAAAGAGCCUCUCCUUUGCUCUCCCUAGCAGCAUUCAUACACAAAUCUCGAGAUUUCCUCCAUACUCGGUAGAAACCCACAAAACAUGAGUUAUGUUGUGGCUUUUGAGGAGUGGUACUCAAAAUAUUAACUCAUAUUUUGAAGGCUUUUACCGAGUACGUAAUCAAUCAUUUUGUAUGGAAGAGAAGAAAGGAAACCUUUGGAAAAGAGAGAGAGAAGCUAAGUUAAAACGAGAUCAUAGAAUGGACAAACCAAGAG
rnacentral:lncRNA from 1 species